UCAACUCGUGAUGCAUGAAAUGGAUAGCUAAAGGCCAAAGAAGAAGAAAUAACUCAAUUUUUUCAAUGGGACGACCGGAACAGCAACAAUGGACGCAGAAAUUAUUUGAUCCAAAGAAUACCUCCCACGGAAUUUGUCCACCACAUCCUUGAGGACUAAGGACCAAACCGGAGAACCUUAAAGGAAAGGACAGAACGGAAAGGACAGGUCUUCGCCCAGGGACUAACAGGAACCCCCCACACACACAAUGCCCAUCCGAGUUUCAGAGGAAACAGGUAAGUCCGUUUUUCCUCUUCUAUUCCUUCCAAAAUACCGGUCCGUUGACCGACAAUUUAACUAGAAUCGGGUAGAACGAAAAUUUGUGACCAAUUGCGUUCCAAAAGCGGAUGUGGACGUUGAGGGAUGUAAUAUUCACUUUUUGUUACCGCCACCUAGUGGUGCCCCAAGGUUAACGCAUGUUAAUUAUAGUGGUGAGAGGCCGCUAAAUGAAUUUGAUUUUCAUCCAGUGGACGGGACAGAUGUGUGGAAUGCGUUGAAUCCAAUUAAAUCUAACGCUGUCGGAGCUGAUGGGGUUCCACUAAGAUUUUUAAGAUUGAUAUUUCCUCUCAUUUCAAGAUUAAUUGUACCCUUAUUCAAUAAUAUACUGAUGACUUCCUCCUAUCCAGAUGCUUGGAAAAUUGCAAGGGUAGUGCCCAUACCAAAAAUUAGCAGACCGACAACGCCAAGCGACUUUAGGCCCAUUAGCAUUCUACCGGUGUUCUCCAAGAUCUUUGAGAUUUUAUUGAAUAGACAGAUUGUUGUUAGUCAAACUGUAACAAGAUUAUUUUCAAAUUUUGAAUUUGGCUUUAAGAGACACUUUAGCACAACAACACUGAUGGCAAGUUUAAUGGAUGAAGUGAGAAGGAAUAUUGAUCUUAACUAGUUAGGGUCAAGAACCCAGGUCAUGCGUCAAAGGGCCAACCGAUUGGCGGCUAACACCCUCCCCAGACCGUUCGCCAACCCGAGAUCAUACGUGGUGAUCCUGACCACCAAUCUGGAGAUGCGUACCAGAGUCAUCGUCACCGGAUACUGCGUUACCGGCUUAUUCACCGCGGUGAAUCUGCCUUGUGUCUUCCACCCACUGUGAUUCCAUCCGCUAUAACCGUCCUCUGGCCGCUCAUAUUCCUCAUUCGUCCUCCCACCUUACUACGAUGUGCAUCCUAAUGUCAUAGUUUCGCUGGGGCACAGGGGGGUAGGCUCCGGAGGUCUAUGACACGUCACAAGUUGGCCGCCCAUUGACGUCAGCACACGUUGGAAUCACAACCUGAGGGAGCUUCUGCGGUACUCUGGUCACGAAAACUCUGGCGCCCAUCUCCAAGGUCCGGUGUAGAAGGUUCAUCACUGACCUUUCGGUCGGUAAACAAAGUGGGGAAUGCCACAGCCGCCCAUCAAGCCGAAUUGCUUGAAACACCGCGCUUUGCGGGUAGGGAGAUAACUAGAAGAAAUAAAACAACAACUGAAAGAAAAAGAUAAAAUAAGGGCUCAAAAAAACCCAAAACUAAAACAAGAAAAAUCUGGCUCAAGCCAAAAAGAAACGAUAUACCAAUUCGGUGUUAGAAAAAAGAAAGAAGACAAAAAAAAAAAAAAAAAAAAAAAAAAAAAUAUUGCCAAGAGCGCUACGCCACUCUGGCUUUGGGACACUAUGCUAUCCCAUUCGAUUUAUAAAAAUAAAAUUCACUGAUUACCACUAUCUUAACCUAUUUAAAAAAAAAAAAAAAAAUAA